AUGAAGAACGUAGCGAAAUGCGAUAAGUAAUGUGAAUUGCAGAAUUCAGUGAAUCAUCGAAUCUUUGAACGCACAUUGCGCCCGCCAGUAUUCUGGCGGGCAUGCCUGUUCGAGCGUCAUUUCAACCAUCAAGCCCCCGGCUUGUGUUGGGGACCUGCGGCUGCCGCAGGCCCUGAAAACCAGUGGCGGGCUCGCUAGUCACUCCGAGCGUAGUAAUACAUCUCGCUCAGGGCGUGCUGCGGGUUCCGGCCGUUAAAAAGCCUUAUUUACCCAAGGUUGACCUCGGAUCAGGUAGGAAGACCCGCUGAACUUAAGCAUAUCAAUAAGCGGAGGA
rnacentral:misc_RNA from 1 species